rnacentral:lncRNA from 1 species
GUUUAUACUUGAACUAGAGUUGAAGUUGUUGUUGUAAUAUACAGAUUCUGCAUACCCGACUAUAUUGUGGAAAAUAACACUUUUCACCCUCAACAACAAGAUAAGGUACUAUCUCCCAACCAUUUGACUCCUUUUUUCCUUCUUCAUUGAUAUCUUGCUCUAUUGGACAACUCAGAUCAUCAUCUUUCGAUUAAUCACCAUCUUUGGAUUCCUCAUUAUCAAAAUCACAUCUUCUAUAAGCAGAUUUUUUAGAACUUGAGGAUUUAUGUAUCCGGUACUUCUUGUCAUUGGGGUCAUCGCUAUCCUCGUCGCUUGACGCUUUAGAUUCUAACUCAGAAGAUGAAGCUUCAUACUC